UACGUAGGGUGCGAGCGUUGUCCGGAAUUAUUGGGCGUAAAGGGCUCGUAGGCGGUUUGUCGCGUCGGGAGUGAAAACUCAGGGCUUAGCCCUGAGCCUGCUCCCGAUACGGGCAGACUAGAGGUAUGCAGGGGAGAACGGAAUUCCUGGUGUAGCGGUGAAAUGCGCAGAUAUCAGGAGGAACACCGGUGGCGAAGGCGGUUCUCUGGGCAUUACCUGACGCUGAGGAGCGAAAGUGUGGGGAGCGAACAGG
rnacentral:rRNA from 1 species